AAAAAAAAAUAUUCAAUGAAUGAGGAGCAGAUUUGCAGCAUUAUUAAUGCUUGAGAACAGGCAUCUUGAGAUUCUUGAAUAAACCAAUAUGAUCCAGAAUUGAAAUGUUUCUAUAGCUUUUAUAUAUUUUUUUAUACAGCAAAUCCACACGCCCAUAAAAUUUCUUCCUCUGCCUUUUCCAUCUCUCAAACUCAUCUUCUUUAAGGGUGAUGUAAUCAUGUGAAAUGAUCCCAAAAUCAUGGUCACUCAAAUCAAACUCAACACAGUUCUCAUAAUUCCUGUAUUUUUCAUGAGCACCCAAAUCAAACUCACCAUAAUUUCCAUAGUUCCUGUAUUGUUUUUUCCCACCAACUUUCUUUUUGUGUUGCUCAAUUAUUUUAGUAGCAAGAACAUGUGCUUUACGUUCAUAAACCAUAACAGAUUUAGGAAGAGAACUUCGAUCAAUUGUAGUCCCUUGGUUACUCUUCUUACUUUUGAAAUUUUCAUGAUGCCCCAGUUUUGGUAACUGAAUCAUGGGUAUAUUCAAAAAAUCAGAUUUGUCUCCCGUAAGCUUAGGGGAAUCCGAUUGGGAAUUAGAUGGAGCGGAAGGAGGGAACAAAAUAUUAAUAAAAGUUGUAAGUUUAGUAUCUGGCUCGGCAUCAUUCCUGAUUGUUGCCAUAGUUACCUUCUGCAACCUUGCCAGUGAAUAAGCCUUUGAAAGUGUCCUUGGCUUAAACAUUCUGACUGGCAAUUGCAACUCAUCAACCAGUCCAGAGAGGAAAAAAUUCAAUGCUUUCUCUUUCUUGAAUUCUAGCUUUUGAAUACAACUGGUUAAAGGAAUUCCAAUAAUCUUGCAAGGUAAAUUCUUGUUUCAAAUUCUUUAAAUCCUCUAAUGGAUCUUCCCUUGCUUUUGUGGAUU
rnacentral:misc_RNA from 1 species